AAUGCCAAAAAAAAAAAAGAUUUCAAUUUUAAAAUGACUUUCCAAAACUUAUGUCAAUUUUACUAAUUAAAAAAAAUUAAAAAGAAAUGUUAAAAAUAAAUUAUCUCGCCAAUUUAGAGUCAAUAGGAUUGACACUAGAUGUAGGUAUGGGCUCAGACAAACUAUGGUUUGAGUUCUUAUUUGGAGAGAAUAUUGUAGGCAACAAACAACCAUACAUGUAUGGUAAAAGAGUGCUCAAAAUCAAUACUCGAUACCGUAUUAUCCGGAAGCUUCACCCUAAGUAGCAAAGGACCUAAAGAUAUAUCUGAAUGUCUUUACAUGUUUUCAAAUGUCAAACUUCAAAUUAAUCUCUAACUGAUUUACCUACGUGUUUGUAGGAUGAGAAUGUGGCCCUGUAUGGUAUAGCUUUGAUUGAGAGUGGCUUCAAGUUCACUCAGUUGGAGGUUUUCACUUUCCAUCCAUACAGAUUCAUUGAAGGAAAGAGUAAAUCGGAAGGGUGAUUUCCAGACAUUUUCUUCACAAGGUGAUGAUAUUGGGGAAAUGGAUUCCUUGAAAUGCUUCUUGGAUGAUCAUCUUAAAAUUCAAGACUUUGGGGAUAUUUAUUAUUUCUUAGGCCUUGCAGCCCACGGGGUACCUCAAGGUUUUCUUGUUAGUCAGCAUAAAUAUACGAAGGAAUUGAUAGAAGAGUUCCAUUGUUCUGGUUGUUAUUCUGUGGUGAUUCCUUUAGAACCCUACCCCAAGCUUCUACCUAACUCUAGAACUUUGCUUCCUGAUCCUUCUUCUUUUAGAAAGCUUGUUGGUAAAUUAAAUUCCUUACAGCACACUAGGCCUGAUAUUUUCUUCUCAGUUCAACAGUUAAGCCAAUUUCUCAAAGCUCCUAGUUCUUCUCUUAUGCAAGUUGUUUUACAUGUUUUGAGAUAUUUGUUGACUGAUCUUGCUAAAGGCAUUUUCCUCUCUAA